UGUCGGCGCAGCGGGUCGGCACGGUCGGCCGGCCGGUGCCCGGCCACGGCGUCCGGAUCGCCGACGACGGCGAGAUCCUGCUCCGCGGCGACAUC
rnacentral:tRNA from 1 species